rnacentral:rRNA from 1 species
GAUGAACGCUGGCGGCGUGCCUAAUACAUGCAAGUCGAGCGAACAGACGAGGAGCUUGCUCCUCUGACUUUAGCGGCGGACGGGUGAGUAACACGUGGAUAAACUAACUAUAAGACUGGGAUAAAUUCGGGAAACCGGAGCUAAUACCGGAUAAUAUAUUGAACCGCAUGGUUCAAUAGUGAAAGACGGUUUUGCUGUCACUUAUAGAUGGCUCCGCGCUGCAUUAGCUAGUGGGUAAGGUAACGGAUUACCAAGGCAGCGAUGCUUAGCCGACCUGAGGGCGACACUGCCCACAUGGGAACAGAGACAGGUUACAGACUCUUGGAGGGGGCAGCGGUAGAGAAUCUUCCGCAAUGGACGAAAGCCGGACGUUGCAACGCCGCGUGAGUCAUGAAGGACUUCUGCUCGUAAAGCUCUGUUAUUAGGAAAGUACAAAUGUUUAAGUACCUAGGAACGUCUUGACGGUACCUAAACAGAAAGCCACGGCUAACUACGUG